GCACCAAGGGACACGACCCCGACGUCCCUCCCCACCUCGGGCGCAGGGUCCAGCCCCCGAGGAAGGGAAGGGCGGCGGCUGGAGAACAGCCUGGGAAGCACUGAAAUGCCCAGAAACGUGCUGUGACCGGAAACCUCCUGGGCGUGGCGACAGUGCGAGAGCCAAGGCUCAGCGGGCGCGGGUACGCCCGUCGCGGGCCCUAGGCGGCCCUGGACCGACCCCUCCCGCGCCGUCGGCCCCGUCCCUUCCCCUGAUGGACCAGCAAUGAUUCUCCAGGGCCACUGUCUUCCGCGGAAGAGACAGAGAUGUGGAGUUGAUGUGAUCACUCACCAACCCAAAGUGCCAGAGGCAAAGCAG